rnacentral:misc_RNA from 1 species
UUUCCGUAGGUGAACCUGCGGAAGGAUCAUUACUGAAGAUUUGGUCGCAAGACCGCUCUUCCACCCUUUGCUUACUAUACCAUGUUGCUUUGGCGAGCCGUCUUUAGGCCACCGGCUUCGGCUGGUGCGUGCUCGCCAGAGACCUCAAACAACCUGAUUUUUGUGUUUGUCUGAACAACUUUUAAAUUAUUAAAACCUUCAACAAUGGAUCUCUUGGCUCUGGCAUCGAUGAAGAACGCAGC